GACGAACGCUGGCGGCGUGCCUAAUACAUGCAAGUCGAACGAACUCUGGUAUUGAUUGGUGCUUGCAUCAUGAUUCACAUUUGAGUGAGUGGCGAACUGGUGAGUAACACGUGGGAAACCUGCCCAGAAGCGGGGGAUAACACCUGGAAACAGAUGCUAAUACCGCAUAACAACUUGGACCGCAUGGUCCGAGUUUGAAAGAUGGCUUCGGCUAUCACUUUUGGAUGGUCCCGCGGCGUAUUAGCUAGAUGGUGAGGUAACGGCUCACCAUGGCAAUGAUACGUAGCCGACCUGAGAGGGUAAUCGGCCACAUUGGGACUGAGACACGGCCCAAACUCCUACGGGAGGCAGCAGUAGGGAAUCUUCCACAAUGGACGAAAGUCUGAUGGAGCAACGCCGCGUGAGUGAAGAAGGGUUUCGGCUCGUAAAACUCUGUUGUUAAAGAAGAACAUAUCUGAGAGUAACUGUUCAGGUAUUGACGGUAUUUAACCAGAAAGCCACGGCUAACUACGUGCCAGCAGCCGCGGUAAUACGUAGGUGGCAAGCGUUGUCCGGAUUUAUUGGGCGUAAAGCGAGCGCACGCGGUUUUUUAAGUCUGAUGUGAAAGCCUUCGGCUCAACCGAAGAAGUGCAUCGGAAACUGGGAAACUUGAGUGCAGAAGAGGACAGUGGAACUCCAUGUGUAGCGGUGAAAUGCGUAGAUAUAUGGAAGAACACCAGUGGCGAAGGCGGCUGUCUGGUCUGUAACUGACGCUGAGGCUCGAAAGUAUGGGUAGCAAACAGGAUUAGAUACCCUGGUAGUCCAUACCGUAAACGAUGAAUGCUAAGUGUUGGAGGGUUUCCGCCCUUCAGUGCUGCAGCUAACGCAUUAAGCAUUCCGCCUGGGGAGUACGGCCGCAAGGCUGAAACUCAAAGGAAUUGACGGGGGCCCGCACAAGCGGUGGAGCAUGUGGUUUAAUUCGAAGCUACGCGAAGAACCUUACCAGGUCUUGACAUACUAUGCAAAUCUAAGAGAUUAGACGUUCCCUUCGGGGACAUGGAUACAGGUGGUGCAUGGUUGUCGUCAGCACGUGUCGUGAGAUGUUGGGUUAAGUCCCGCAACGAGCGCAACCCUUAUUAUCAGUUGCCAGCAUUAAGUUGGGCACUCUGGUGAGACUGCCGGUGACAAACCGGAGGAAGGUGGGGAUGACGUCAAAUCAUCAUGCCCCUUAUGACCUGGGCUACACACGUGCUACAAUGGAUGGUACAACGAGUUGCGAACUCGCGAGAGUAAGCUAAUCUCUUAAAGCCAUUCUCAGUUCGGAUUGUAGGCUGCAACUCGCCUACAUGAAGUCGGAAUCGCUAGUAAUCGCGGAUCAGCAUGCCGCGGUGAAUACGUUCCCGGGCCUUGUACACACCGCCCGUCACACCAUGAGAGUUUGUAACACCCAAAGUCGGUGGGGUAACCUUUUAGGAACCAGCCGCCUAAGGUGGGACAGAUGAUUAGGGUG
rnacentral:rRNA from 1 species